AGUGAACGCUGGCGGUAGGCCUAACACAUGCAAGUCGAACGGCAGCACAGUAAUAGCUUGCUCUUCCGGGUGGCGAGUGGCGGGCGGGACAGGAAUACAUCCGACUCUACUUUUUCGUGGGGGAUCACGAAGGGAAACCUACGCCAAUACAGCAUACGACCUACGGGGGAAAGCAUGGGAACUUCGGGCCUGGCGCGAUUGGAUGAGCGGAUGUCGGAUUAGCUAGUUGGCGGGGUAAAGGCCAACCAAGGCGAGGAUCCGCAGCUGGUCUGAGAGGAGGAUCAGCCACACUGGAACGUGGACACGGUCCAUACUACUACGGGACGCAGCAGUGUGGUAUAGUGGACAAUGGGCGCAAGUCUUGUCCAGCCAUCCCGCGUCUGUUAAGAAGGCCUUCGGGUUGUAAAGCCCUUUUGUUGGGUAAGAACAGCAGCCGGUUAAUACCACGCUGUUCUGACGGUACCCAGAGAAGAAGCACCGGCUAACUUCGUG
rnacentral:rRNA from 1 species